UACGUAGGGGGCAAGCGUUGUCCGGAUUUACUGGGCGUAAAGAGCGCGUAGGCGGAAGCUUAAGUGUGGUUUGAAAGCCCCCGGCUCAACCGGGGAAUGUGAUUGCAAACUGGGCUUCUUGAGGGGGAUAGAGGAGAGUGGAAUUCCUGGUGUAGCGGUGAAAUGCGUAGAGAUCAGGAGGAACACCGGUGGUGUAGACGGCUCUCUGGACCGUAACUGACGCUGAAACACGAAAGCGUGGGUAGCAAACAGG
rnacentral:rRNA from 1 species